rnacentral:rRNA from 1 species
AACGUAGGUUCCGAGCGUUAUCCGGAAUUACUGGGCGUAAAGCGCACGUAGGCGGCUUUGUAAGUUAGAGGUGAAAGCCCGGGGCUCAACUCCGGAACUGCCUUUAAGACUGCAUCGCUUGAACAUCGGAGAGGUAAGUGGAAUUCCGAGUGUAGAGGUGAAAUUCGUAGAUAUUCGGAAGAACACCAGUGGCGAAGGCGACUUACUGGACGAUUGUUGACGCUGAGGUGCGAAAGCGUGGGGAGCAAACAGG